rnacentral:rRNA from 1 species
UACGUAGGGCGCAAGCGUUAUCCGGAAUUGUUGGGCGUAAAGAGCUCGUAGGCGGUUUGUCGCGUCUGCCGUGAAAGUCCGGGGCUCAACUCCGGAUCUGCGGUGGGUACGGGCAGACUAGAGUGAUGUAGGGGAGACUGGAAUUCCUGGUGUAGCGGUGAAAUGCGCAGAUAUCAGGAGGAACACCGAUGGCGAAGGCAGGUCUCUGGGCAUUAACUGACGCUGAGGAGCGAAAGCAUGGGGAGCGAACAGG